AUUUAACAUUAUUAACAAAUUGUGUAUGUAUUCAUCAGCAGUAAGACUGUGAAAGAGUUGUAAAAUAUUUAAUUAAUACGUAUACAGCGGCUUCAAUACUCGAACAAUGGGACUCUGUAGUAGCUCGUGUAACCCAUGUCAAAGCCUGUGUUGUUGUUGUUCCUGCUGUUGCGACGACAACAACAAUGGUGGAGGUGUUAUGGUUGUCGAUCAUCCUUCCAACGUGGUUGUGGUUGACGAACCUACUGGACCCAUGGGAAGAUAGAGUUUGAAACAUUUUAUAUAAAUAUUAGUGUCUGUACAGUUGCAGCUAUAUCGUAUACCUCCUGUGUUUUUAUUUUCAUAAUUCUUGUACGUUUCUUGAAAAAUAAUAAAAAUAUGUUAUGCUCAGAAAAUUAUGUUAGAUGAUAAAUGAAAUAGAUAAUUCAUUUUAAUCGUGUAUUGAAGCAUUUUGAGAGGUCAAUUUAUUGUACAAUUUUGGAUAAUUUAUAUUAAAUGUAAUAAAUAACUUUUACACGUUUUU